rnacentral:rRNA from 1 species
AGCAGCCGCCGCGGUAAUACGAAGGGGGCUAGCGUUGUUCGGAUUUACUGGGCGUAAAGCGCACGUAGGCGGAUUCUUAAGUCAGAGGUGAAAUCCCAAGGCUCAACCUUGGAACUGCCUUUGAUACUGGGGAUCUUGAGUUCGGGAGAGGUGAAUGGAACUGCGAGUGUAGAGGUGAAAUUCGUAGAUAUUCGCAAGAACACCAGUGGCGAAGGCGGCUCACUGGCCCGAUACUGACGCUGAGGUGCGAAAGCGUGGGGAGCAAACAGGAUUAGAUACCCGGGUAGUCCCUGUCUCUUAUAC